AUCGAAGUGAAAUAAAAACCCUCUCUCCACUUUUUGUUUAUCCACUUAAAGGGGAAAGAAUCGCUUACUUUGUAUGAUUGUUGAGUGUAUUGGGUGCCUA